rnacentral:rRNA from 1 species
GUGAGGAAUAUUGGACAAUGGGCGCAAGCCUGAUCCAGCCAUGCCGCGUGCAGGAAGACGCAUCUAUGGUGUGUAAACUGCUUUUGUACGGGAAGAAACACUCCCUCGUGAGGGAGCUUGACGGUACCGUAAGAAUAAGGAUCGGCUAACUCCGUGCCAGCAGCCGCGGUAAUACGGAGGAUCCAAGCGUUAUCCGGAAUCAUUGGGUUUAAAGGGUCCGUAGGCGGUUUAAUAAGUCAGUGGUGAAAGCCCAUCGCUCAACGAUGGAACGGCCAUUGAUACUGUUAGACUUGAAUUACAAGGAAGUAACUAGAAUAUGUAGUGUAGCGGUGAAAUGCUUAGAUAUUACAUGGAAUACCAAUUGCGAAGGCAGGUUACUACUUGUGGAUUGACGCUGAUGGACGAAAGCGUGGGGAGCGAACAGGAUUAGAUACCCCGGUAGUCC